rnacentral:sRNA from 1 species
AAGGAUGAGAAGCUUCGACCAAGGUUCGAUUCGAGCGCAGCGAGAAAGCGUUGCCGCAGGCAACGACCCGAAGGGCGAAGCGCGCAGCGCUGAGUCAUCCUU